rnacentral:rRNA from 1 species
UACAGGGGGUGCAAGCGUUGCUCGGAAUUAUUGGGCGUAAAGCGCGCGUAGGCGGCUACUUAAGUCGGAUGUGAAAGCCCCUGGCUCAACUGGGGAAGUGCACCCGAAACUGAGUGGCUUGAGUACUAAAGAGGGUCGCGGAAUUCCCGGUGUAGAGGUGAAAUUCGUAGAUAUCGGGAGGAACACCGGUGGCGAAGGCGGCGACCUGGGUAGAUACUGACGCUGAGGCGCGAAAGCGUGGGGAGCAAACAGG